rnacentral:rRNA from 1 species
GACGAACGCUGGCGGCGUGCUUAACACAUGCAAGUCGAACGAUGAAGCUGGAUCUCGCUCUGGCGGAUUAGUGGCGAACGGGUGAGUAACACGUGAGAAAUCUGCCCUUGACUCUGGGAUAACUGCGGGAAACUGUAGCUAAUACCGGAUACUUUCCCUGGUGGGCAUCCACUGGGGAAGAAAGAAUUUCGGUCAAGGAUGAUCUCGCGGCCUAUCAGCUUGUUGGUGAGGUAAUGGCUCACCAAGGCGACGACGGGUAGCCGGCCUGAGAGGGUGACCGGCCACACUGGGACUGAGACACGGACCAGACUCCUACGGGAGGCAGCAGUGGGGAAUAUUGCACAAUGGGCGCAAGCCUGAUGCAGCAACGCCGCGUGAGGGAUGAAGGCCUUCGGGUUGUAAACCUCUUUUAGCAGGGAAGAAGCGAAAGUGACGGUACCUGCAGAAAAAGCACCGGCUAACUACGUGCCAGCAGCCGCGGUAA